rnacentral:lncRNA from 1 species
UAGGAAGGGGAGGGAGAAGUUUAACUUGGAGGCAAAGGGUAAACAUAGCCAUUGGAGCAGCUAAAGGUAAGUCCUCACUCUGAGCGAGAACCAUGCCUUUUUUCGAUUUUAUAAAUUUAGAUUAUUUUAGAGGUUCAGCUAUUGUCAUUCGAGGAGCCAAUUUUUACUAAAAUACGAUUACUUAGAAUGUAAUAAGCAUUGAAGAUAUAGCCUCAUCAUACGAUAAAAUUGAAAUUUUGUAUGAUCAUAUUUGCAAUUUGUCGAAUAAAAAAAUUGUUACAAUUCAGAAAGUGACAAUUUUGCGGACUAUGACCUAAUUUGUUUCAUUUUAUUGAAUGGAGAAAGAUGCAGACCCUACAUUUAUUUGUUCAAUUUCAAACAAGGAAGAAUUUUCUCUUUUAUCUUGUUAAUAUAAAUUUCUUAAUAAUCGGUACGAUCAAUAUAAUAGUGCUGUGAAAAUGGGUCGGCUUGAGAUAAGUUCCUCAUUGAUUAUGGCCCCCUCAAACUGCUCGAACCACCCUUUUUUUCUGUUUUUUUUCAGUUUUCUAUAAAUCAUUUUUCAUUAACAUUACUUUCUAAUGAAAUUAGGGUUAGCUCACCUCCAUGAAGACGUCAAUCCAAGCAUAAUCCACAGGGACAUAAAACCAAGCAACAUCCUAAUUGGAGAAGAAUUUGAGGCCAAAGUAUCAGAUUUUGGUCUUGUUAGAUCAGGCCCGGUUGGGGACCAAUCUCAUGUUAGCAGCCAAGUUAAAGGGACACCAGGCUAUCUUGAUCCAGCCUAUUGUUCAAGUUUUCAUCUCACUCCAUUUACGGAUGUCUAUAGCUUUGGGGUCAUACUUUUGCAACUUGUUUCUGCUAGACCUGCACUUGAGUCAACUAGAAAUCAUACCAAUUUGCACAUCAUUGAUUGGGUAAGCCAAAAAUAUCGAGUUAAAUAUUUCGUUUUUUGUAUAACUGUCGUUCGAAGUGCUCAUUUUACUACUAAAUUAAGCUUUCUAUGAUAGUUAAAAUAUGACGGAUAAUUUAUUUAUUCGAAACUAUGCAGGCAAGGCCUAGUAUUGAACGAGGCAACAUUGAGGAAAUAUUGGAUGCUAAUCUCUUAAUAGAAGGAUGUAACAUGGAAAUGAUGAUGAAAAUGGGACAACUUGGCUUAAGAUGUGUGAUGAAAGAGCCGAAAAAAAGGCCUACAAUGACUCAAGUGUGGCAAGAACUUGAGGACGAUCUCUAUUCAAUGGACAACUUCCUACCCAAAAAACCUCGUAAGAUGGAUUCCAAAAGACUCAAGGGCAUUUCUAGUCAAUCAAUAGGACAUCAGAGUCAUCCUUCGAUAACUGAUCAAGAUUACUCUCAAAGCAUUAAUGUGAGUGUUGAUGGCAUUAAACUUCAAAGAUUUCGUGUAGAUUUGGAUGGCCUCUCUAUUCAAAGUGGAAGUUUGAGGUGUUUAGAAACAAGUGAGAGUAUAGAAGAUGAUUUUAGCUUUCCUCGCUAAUCUUAGGUUCUACAAUGACCUAAUUUGAGAAUCAAUAUUAAUAUGAACCUUUUAAGUGACAAAACGUGUAAGAUUUAUCUAUUAUACUAUAACAAAAGUAGUUUUUUAUGGCAUUUGUUUA